CCUACGGGAGGCAGCAGUAGGGAAUUUUGCGCAAUGGGCGAAAGCCUGACGCAGCAACGCCGCGUGAUUGAUUAAGCCCUUCGGGGUGUAAAGAUCUGUCAGUGGGGACGAAACUUGACGGUACCCACAGAGGAAGCCCCGGCUAACUCCGUGCCAGCAGCGGCGGUAAUACGGAGGGUGCAAGCGUUGUCCGGAAUCAUUGGUCGUAAAGAUUUCGUAGGUGGCAUAUAAAGUCUGGUGUUAAAUGCAGCAGCACAACUUCUGUUCGGCACGGGAUACUGGUAAGCUUGUAUGCGGUAGAGGUAAAGGGAAUUCCUGGUGUAGCGGUGAAAUGCGUAGAUAUCAGGAGGAACAUCGGUGGCGUAAGCGCUUUACUGGGCAGUAAUUGACACUGAGGAACGAAAGCCAGGGGAGCAAAUGGGAUUAGAUACCCGUGUAGUC
rnacentral:rRNA from 1 species